rnacentral:tRNA from 1 species
GCCCUGGUAGCUCAAUUGGUUAGAGCGUCGGACUUUUAUCGGCAUUAAGCUUAUAUCGCGUUAUCCGAAGGCUGCGGGUUCGACCCCCGCCUGGGGCG